GAUGAACGCUAGCGGCAGGCUUAACACAUGCAAGUCGAGGGGCAGCACGGAAGUGGUAACACUUUUGGUGGCGACCGGCGGACGGGUGCGUAACGCGUAUGCAACCUACCGACAACAUGGGGAUAACGGAUGGAAACGUCCACUAAUACCUGAAAAUAUCAUUGGAGGCAUCUUCGUUGGUUGAAAGAAAUUUGGUUGUUGUUCGGCAUGCGUAGCAUUAGUUAGUUGGUGGGGUAACGGAUCACCAAGGCUACGAUGUUUAGGGGGACUGAGAGGUUAACCCCCCGCACUGGAGCUGGGCCACGGUCCAGACUCCUACGGGAGGCAGCAGUGAGGAAUAUUGGGCAAUGGGCGAAAGCCUGAACCAGCCAUGCCGCGGGCAGGAGGACGGCUCUAUGAGUUGUAAACUGCUUUUAUACGAGGGUAAUUGCGCGCACGUGUGCGUGUUUGAAAGUAUCGUAUGAAUAAGGAUCGGCUAACUCCGUGCCAGCCGCCGCCGUAA
rnacentral:rRNA from 1 species